rnacentral:lncRNA from 1 species
AUGGGUUUAUGCAACUCAAGAAGAGUUGAAAGAAAAGAAAGGCUAGGAGACCCCCUAUAUGUCAAAGGAAGGGAUAGUCGAUCUCCUUUAGACUAGGGGAUGGGAUUAACAUUCUUGGGCAAGGAAAGAAUGUAUGAGGGAACCUCUUCGAUAACAAAGGUGAUUCAAACUACUCGGAGGGGCAUAUAGUUAAUAUGAUGUCACAAACAAAGGAGACACUUCUUGAAGACUUAGAGAUCAUCAAGUCAAGCGAAAGAUAAUAAUAAAGGUAACUAGAACUAGACAUAAAACAAAAAAAUAAUAAUUUAUGUGAAUGUUAAUGUUAGAAAUGCAUGUUUUUCCCUGUUUGAGUAGAUGAUGUGUGUGUGUCUAGUUACUAGGUAAGGAAAAUGAAGUAGGUCCUAUACAUUAGGUGAGGACAUAGACUAUAAAUGUUUAUAUGCUCCCUAUGGAUAUGUCAGGGUUAUACCUCAGUAAAGGUUGAUGUUAACCUGGAAUGAACAAGGUAGGCAAAAGGAAAGGUAAGUUCCUUACCCAAUGUAAUAGGGAAGUUUUGAGUGACUUAAUUAGUGUAAUACUGAUCUUAGACUAACUAAAGUAGUCUAAUCUAAGUACUAGAAGAAAGUGAGAGAAAGAUGGCAUAAGAAUCGAUUAGCUAUUAAGAUAAUACCUCCUAGUGUCUGAUGACUCACUAAAGUUGAUAGAAACAAAUUCACAUAAUAGUUGUGAGAAUGAGUAUGUAACAGAGAAAAUUAACAUAAGGGUUAGUAUAGAAGUAAACCAUAGGCAAGAAGAGUUCCUAGAGGUUUAGUGAGUAAGACCAUGAGAGCUAAGAAAAGAAUUACUAGGAUAAGAGAAUCAUAUCCCCGAUCCUAAAGUGUUUUGAGCAGUCACUAAGACUUGUGUCUCAUUGUUUAAAGUUUCAUGUUUUUUAAGGUUAAGCAGGUGAACAUUCUAAGAUGAAGCUUGAUUGCUUGAAGAUACUAGCAGGAGGAGAUAGUUUAGCAUGUACCUUCAAAUGUAUGAGAGUACAUUUUAGUUUAUGUACCUUUAUUUUUACGCUUUGUAUGACCCCUAAGUGUCAAGUGGCUUGUAUGUUUAGUAUUUCGAUAAGAGUUUUGUUUAGAAGGAUCUUUAGUAUUUUAUAUUUUAUUUUCGCUUGAUAAACUCAAUAUAUAUAUAUAUAUAUAUAUGUUUAUGUAUAUUCAAAGCUUCCAUGUUAUAGAAAUCUAAGCGUAACUAAGGUAAUACCU